CACGCCGUAAACGCUGAUUACUAGGUGUUGGGGGUCAAACCUCGGUGCCGAAGUUAACACAUUAAGCAUUCCGCCUGGGGAGUACGGUGGCAACACUGAAACUCAAAGGAAUUGACGGGGACCCGCACAAGCAGCGGAGCAUGUGGUUUAAUUCGAUGCAACGCGAAGAACCUUACCAGGGCUUGACAUAUAUGCGCUAGCACUAGAGAUAGUGGGUUCUCUUCGGAGACGUAUAUACAGGUGG
rnacentral:rRNA from 1 species